UCAAUGAGAUGUGUUUGACCUACAAAAAGCUAAUGGCUUAGAGAAUGUCAUGCUGGGAAUAUCUAACAGAAGCUUUUAAUUGCCUGUAAGAUAAACCCUAGUUUCCUGCAUGAAAAUAAUUUAUGAUAAUGUGGUACUGUGUAAUAAUUUUAAAAACUGCAGGAAUCUGUGGAUCAGAAACAUAUACAUUUAAGCAUUCAUUUCCCUUGAAGACAUUGUUCGAAAAUGUUUGCAUAAAAAAAGAUGCAAUCACAAAUUUACUUUUGCUUUGCUACAGAAUAUUGGCAAAUUGCCUUCCAUCGUGAAUGUCCCCACAUAUUAACUAUGAACAGCCUCUGCUGAGUUCAGCCAUUCCCACACUCACAACAGGAGAAUCAAAUACCAGGGAAUGGGAAGUGAAUCUUAAUACUGCUUCUGUUGCUAAAGUUCAGUAAAGUCAGUCAUUGCAUUAUUUUUUUGUAAGUUCGUUAUCAGCCAUGUUUGGGAGAUGAUUAUUUUGAUUAUGGAAUACACAAAAUGCCUUGUAUGAAACAGAAUGAAAAUUUAUCUUAUGCCUGUUUGGUUUUCCUUUCUUUGGCAGGGAGGGGGUCAAAAUACAAAGCCACGGAAAUUCAUUUAGAAAGAAAGAUGCAUGGAAUUUUUAAUUUUCUUUUGCAGACAUUGUCCCUUUAACCAUCCUGAAAGAAAAAAAAUGUGCGUAUUUUAAAAUCAGGCAAAACUGUUAAAUUAAGGGCAGCUCUAACCUUUUUUCCUCCAUCCUUCUUCCCCUUCCUAAGUCAAUCCAAUCAAUCCAUCCUUAAUCAGCCAGGAAGAAGUUGUUGAAGGUCUGGAAUGAGCUCGGCCCUGUGCCAGCCACUGGGGAACCCUGGCCAUGAAGAGCAGGGCUUCUGCCUUUUCGUAUGUGUGUGCCAAUUAGACCCGAACAGGGAUGAAGAGUAAAGCAUUUCUUUAAAUUCUGAGUGCAGUCUGCAUUAAAUUUAGGGGAUUUUCAUGAAGCUUUCUAGAGGAAUGACUCUUCUGUGUUCUUGGCUAUCAAGAUGUGGGUUCUUGACUAUGUCAUGGAGCAAGUCAGCUAACUCAUGUAUUUGCAUAUCUAAAAUGAGAUUCAUUACAAAAGUGUAUGUUAAUAAAGAACACCAUUAGCACUCAAUUUUGCAUUCCAAUUGAUGCUAUUCAGGGGCUUACUAGUAGGCAAAGUACAGACCCAGUUUGUAUCUUAUGUGAGAGACAAGAAAAUUAGAUUAUUAAGAUCCAACCAUAUAUAUCUGCUGUGGAUUUUAGGGAGCAGGUUAGAAUAACUAUGGUUAAUGAGGUCAUUACCUAAGGAUAUGCCAUUAGAUCUAUUUUGUGUCCAGUGAACCAAUCUUAAAUAUUUUAACAUCUUUAUUACAGAAUGCACUAUUAUGAUAAUACCUUAAAAUAAUACUAAUUCGUAUCUACAUGAAGUUUCCAUUUUGGUGAGUCACUGCAAUUAGAUAAGUAAUUGGAAGAAGAUGGUCGCUCUCAUCGGAAAGAAAUUGUGCAUCAGAAUAAAUCAACUUCCUCUUGUGUGCUUGUAAAAAGUACAUGAUAGACUUUGCUCUCUGAGCUCUACUCUGCAAGCAAUGAAGGCAUUUAUGAACAUGGUGAAUUCUGUUGAGUAAUUGAAUUGCAUGUAAUCAAAUAAGAAGUGAUUAAGAAAAAGGGCAGGGGAAACGGAAAUAACCAGGGUGGAUACAUGAUAUGGACAUAUAAGGGUGGGGGAAGGAUAAAGGCCAAAAUUAUAACCAACUACAGGAUGGUGCUGGGGCUGGCUGUCUUUCUAGUUCAGGGUCGCUUGUGUGAAACCUGCUCAUACAUUCUCGAAGCAGAGGUUCUGACUUGAAAAAAGAGGCUCAAGGGCCACACAACAACAGGUUUUCUUCAGUCUACCAUCUCAAUGUCCCCUUCUGGAUUUGAGAAUUACAAACCAGAGAACCAGUCUGUGAUGGAAAGAUUUCAUAUUCCUCCAUAGGCUAAAAGGCUGAUGGAGCUGUAACUGGUGCAGCAAAUGCUCACACUGAGAUUUGAAAUCAGAAGCUGACCUUCAUGCAAGAGCUCUGACUGUCUCUCAUGCUGACCGCUGAGACUGUCUUGCAUUCCUCAAAAGAGCUCUUCAUUUGUCCCUGGCAUCUAACAGAGACCCAGAGGGUGGAUCUCACAGCAUGGUCUAAAAAUAGAAUCUCCCAUUUCAGAGAGAAUAAAAAUGUAUGCAAGCAAUAGGUAUUCUGGUUUAUUUGCAAAACAAAGCCUACUUGCCAUCUCAGAAAAAGCUUUGCAUCAUUUCAGAAGAAUAGUUCAGAGUGGAGAUGAGCUUAAAAUGCAGGAAUAGAAGUGGAGGUUGGAAAACAAGGGAGAAAUGGAAAUCAUUCCCAGGACUGGCAGAAUCUCUAUUUCUUCUUGACCCUUUGGGCCAACUGUGGAUUCUAAAUGACACUUAGAACAGUACUCAAAAAUAAAAAAUAAAAAACAAACUUCAGGAAGAACCAACAUGCUUUGUUCUUUUUGGGAAUUAUAGAUGAAGCAGAAAAUUUUUGCUUAACAUUUCCAACAAAUUGUUUGAAGGGCACGGAGAGCUAAAGCUUUUUAUGCACUACAAUUUUUAAAAAAAAAAAAAAAACCUCCAGAGUUUGUUAUUGUUCUAUUUAUUUUUUCUGUGUUUACCUCAAGUUGGCAUGAACAAAUUAGUAAAAUAGCUUGCAAAUUUGUGCAUCUGUUAAUUAUGUCUAAGGCCCAGUACUAGAAUAUAUGAAUUUAAACAGACCCUUACAUUUUAAGUUAUUCUAGAAAGAAACAAAGAGAGAAAAAGGGAGGGAGAGAGAGGGAGGCUAUCACAUUAUUAUUCAGAAAAUAUUCAAUUAUAUAAGAAAUUGCAAGUCUUACACAGAAGAGUCCUUUUCCCAGAAUAGGAUUUAUAUUCAAAUUUAACUAUCUUAAAGUAGUUACUAUGUGGUACAGUGGGAGAAUAUAAAAAUUCUAUUAAAUGGGACACAUGUUUCAUUAAGCUAAAAAGCCUUCAAAUAAUAUCAGUUUAUUUUCUCUAAUUUUGAUCUCAAAAGAUUGGAAAUUCAGCCUGGAUGACCCUUCCCUCUCUUGACCAAUAUGGCCAUUUCCUAAUAUGGUCAUUCCUAGACAGUGUGAGGAGUUGAAGAGUGCCAUUGAGUGUGUGUGUGUCCAUCCAGCUCACCUGGAUUGACACUCAGGCUCGGAUAUUCACCAUCUAUGUAAACCUCAGUAAGCUGCCUGACUUCCCUGCACUUCAGUUUCCACAACUGCAACUGCAAACUGGGGACCAUUUUAGAAAGUGCUUUGUAAGGUUUGUUAUGGAUUGACUUGUAUCUCCCCCAAAACUCAUAUAUUAAGGUCUUCAGAAUGUGACUGUAUUUAGAGAUAAGGUCUUUACAGAGGUAUUCAAGUUAAACUGAGGUCAUUAGGAUAAGCCUUAAUGCAAUAUGACUGGUGUCCUUACUAAAAGAAAGAAAUUUAGAUACACACAGAGAGAACGCCAUGUGAAGAGGAAGAAAGAGAACUGGGUGAUGCUUCUAUGAGUCAAAGAAUGCCAAAGAGAGUCAGCAAACCACCAGCAGCUCCUGAAGAGGCUGCAGACAGCACCUUCUUCACAGCCUCAGAAGAAACCAACCCUGCCAAUGCCCUGACCUUGGACGUGCAGCCUCCAGGACUGUGGGAUGAUGCAUUUCUGCUAUUCACGUCGCUCUGUUAGUGGGACUUUGCUACAGCAGCCCCAAUAAACUAACACAAGGUUAUUGUGAGUUUAUAGGCUGAGAAACGUAAAAAACAGCGACAACGAAAAUCCUUUAAAGCAUGCCAGGAGCAAUAAAGGUGAGCUCACAUGAUUGUUGCUAUUAACACUAUGCCUCCAGUCAUUUUAAGUGUUAAUGGUAUAUGUUCUGCAUCUAUUUCCUUAAAAUAACAUACCCACCUUAGGUUAGAACAUACCUACCUUAGCUGAGAAGUCAACUGACUUCUCCAGCGGCUCCUUACCAAUGUGUUUGAUUGAUAGUUUGACAAAACUGGCCAGUGGAUUUAGUGGGAAAAGUUGCACAGUCAUGGGGGUAGAUGCUGUCCUCAGUGGCCUGGAUCCGUUUUCUUUCUCAGGUUUCCCCUGAUCAACUGGAGGACGGCACCACACAGACCGUGCUUGCACACACAGAUACAAACACUGGCACCCAGCAUGUACACCACUGUAGAUAAGGCCCAUGUACUCAUUUCCUUUUCAAGAAAAUAAGAUAAAAUGACAUAGACAAAAUAGAACAGAGAAGAAAAGCAAUUUCUCAGCCCUCACUAUACAAGGCCAUGCAAUUUCAGGUUACAGCAGAUGCCCCGGCCCUAAAACAUUUCAUUAUCAGCUACAAAGCAUGAAUGCUAAAGUGUAUUUCCAAACUUCCCGCAAGAGCAGAGAGUGCUUUGGAAAGGCUGCUGUGUGCACCAGGGUGCCCAGGGCUUGUCCCCUCUCGGUGAGGGAUACAGUCUCCUGUCUCCGUAAACAUUUCAGAACUUCCAUUAAUGGGUAUAGGCCAUUGUCUCCAAGUAACCUCCUAAUACUCAGCCGUGCAUAUCUUAUGCGUCAAACACUUGUCUCAGAAUCUCGGGCCUUAUUGUUUUGUCUUUGAGAUUUUUCUCUUCACCUCUCCCAAAUUUUAACUUGCAGAUGAACCCUCCACCACAUGCAGCUGAGACAUGACAAAUGUCUUCCUUGUGGGUUACUGGAGGCUGACUGUUCACCAGACCAGCAAGGAAUUCUGCACAGCCAGGGAUUUCUACCUCCCCACCCUCCCAUCUCUCCACCCAAACAAAUGUGAAAAUGACAUUCCUAGAGAGGGCUGGGGCAGUGGCCAGUCUUCCUUCAGGAUCAUCUGUGGGGCUUGGGAAAAGUGUCUUAUUACCCAAAUUCUUGAACUCCUUGCAUAACACUUCCCAAAUCAGCCUUCUCUUAUGAAUCUAUCUUUAGGCAAAAUAUGGUCUAACCAUUUCUUAGAUGUUCUAAUUUAGAUAUUCAAGUAACUCAAUGGCUUUUGUGGCAUUUCAGCUUGACAUACCAGCAACAUGUGAGUGGUUUCUUUGUUUACAUUUGUUACUGGAAACUUUAAAUAUUCAGUUAUUGUGAUAAGCCAGGUAGAAUCCCCUUGAAUACACUUAUAUUGUUGGACUAUUGCUAGAAAAGCUCAUUGUCAUGGAAAACUGAUAUAUUUUUAUGCUUUAGAGAGUAAGUCACCAUUUAUAUACAAUAAAUUAUAUAUAACUAUAAUUUAUUUAAUAUUGAUUAUAUAUGUUAUAAGAUCUACAGUAGACUCUUGAACAAUUAUAUAUGUAAUCCACAAUGAUAUAUACUACAGUAGACCCUGGAACAACAUGGAUUUGAAAUAUACAGGUCAACCUACAUGUGGACUUUCUUCUGCCUCUGCCACCCCUAAGGCAGCAAGACUAACCUCUCUCCUUCCUCCUCCUCCUCGGCCCACUCAAUGUGAAGACCACAAGGGUGAAGACCUUCAUUAUGACCCACUUGCACUUAAAGAAUAAAGACGAAGUGCUCCUGAUGGCUGCUUUCAAUCACUGGAAGAACCAUGAAAGUGCGAGAGAUUCCUCCCGGUGAAUGAAGCCAGCUCACCACCGUCAAGGGCAAGGGAUCAGCGUGUGUUCACAUGGAGGCCUCUCACCGAGGGAACCCAAGGGGGACAGCACAGGAAUUGCAGAGCCAGCACCCAUGGAAUGGGCAGGGAUUUGGGUUUCAUCCAACCAGCCAGUUGAUCAAUAAUCACUGAAUGUCUGUCACCCAUUGCAUCCUCUCCUGAGUAGUGAGGCUAGGCCA
rnacentral:lncRNA from 1 species